rnacentral:rRNA from 2 species
CAACUUGAGAGUUUGAUCCUGGCUCAGAACGAACGCUGGCGGCAGGCUUAACACAUGCAAGUCGAAC